AACGAACGCUGGCGGCAUGCCUAACACAUGCAAGUCGAACGAGACCUUCGUGUCUGCUGGCUCACGGGUGCGUAGCGCGUGGGAACCUGCCCUUAGAUUUUGAAUAACUCCCUGAAAGGGGUGCUAAUACCGGAUAAUUUAUUCGGACACAAGAUUUGACGACCUUGUAUGGGCCCGCGUUCGAUUAGCUAGUUGGUAGGGUAAAAGCCUACGACGGCUACGAUCCAUAGCUGGGAUGAGAGACUGCUCAGCCACACUUGGAGGGGGACACGGCCGAGAAUACUACGCGAGGCAGCCAAGGCGGAUAUAGGACAACGGGCGAAAGGAAGAACCAACUAUGACGCGAGAGUGCUGUAGUUCUUAAGGAUAUAAAGCGAUUUUACACGGGACGAUAAUGACGGUACCGAAAGAAUAAGAUCCGGCUAACUCCGUG
rnacentral:rRNA from 1 species